ACCUGGAUAGCUCAGUCAGUAGAGUACGGGACUAUUAAAUCUUAGAGUUGUGGGUUUGAGGCCCACGUUGGGCA